rnacentral:tRNA from 1 species
GUCACUUUGGCGGAGUGGUUAACGCGCUGGCCUGCUAAGCCAGUGCCUUCGGGCGCCCAGGUUCGAAUCCUGGAGGUGACG